UACGUAGGUCGCAAGCGUUGUCCGGAUUUACUGGGCGUAAAGAGCGCGCAGGCGGCUGGUCAAGUCCGAUGUGAAAUCUCCCGGCUCAACUGGGAAACUGCAUCGGAAACUGAUCGGCUUGAAGAUGGGAGAGGGUAGUGGAAUUCCCGGUGUAGUGGUGAAAUGCGUAGAUAUCGGGAGGAACACCAGUGGCGAAGGCGACUACCUGGCCCAUUCUUGACGCUGAGGCGCGAAAGCUAGGGGAGCGAACGGGAGUUAGAAACCCC
rnacentral:rRNA from 1 species